GACGAACGCUGGCGGCGUGCCUAAUACAUGCAAGUCGAACGAGAGCGACCGGUGCUUGCACUGGUCAAUCUAGUGGCGAACGGGUGAGUAACACGUGGGUAACCUGCCCAUCAGAGGGGGAUAACAUCCGGAAACGGAUGCUAAAACCGCAUAGGUCUUCGAGCCGCAUGGCUUGAAGAGGAAAAGAGGCGCAAGCUUCUGCUGAUGGAUGGACCCGCGGUGCAUUAGCUAGUUGGUGAGGUAACGGCUCACCAAGGCCGUGAUGCAUAGCCGACCUGAGAGGGUGAUCGGCCACAUUGGGACUGAGACACGGCCCAAACUCCUACGGGAGGCAGCAGUAGGAAAUCUUCCGCAAUGGACGCAAGUCUGACGGAGCAACGCCGCGUGAGUGAAGAAGGUUUUCGGAUCGUAAAACUCUGUUUUUAGAGAAGAACAAGUGCUAGAGUAACUGUUAGCGCCUUGACGGUAUCUAACCAGAAAGCCACGGCUAACUACGUG
rnacentral:rRNA from 1 species